AAUUGACAAACAACUUUCAGCGGUGGAUGUCUAGGUUCCCACAACGAUGAAGAACGCAGCGAAAUGCGAUACGUAAUGCGAAUUGCAAGACCUCGUGAAUCAUCAAAAUUUUGAACGCACAUUGCGCUUUCGGGUUUUACCCGGUAGCAUGCUUGUCUGAGUGUCUGUGAA
rnacentral:rRNA from 1 species